CAUUCAUGGCAUUUAAAAAAAACACAGCCGUUGGUAAUAAGUGUCUUAAUAUGUAAUUGAUCAGUAAACUGCAAGCUUCAGGUCUCCCCAAAGAUGUUUAAUGAGGUUCAAAUCCAGACUUUGACCGCCCACUCAAAGAUAUUCACAGAUUUGUCCCAAAACCACUUAUGUUCUCUUGGCUGCGUACUUCAGGUCAUAGUCAUUCUGACAGAGAAAUCUUCACCUGAGUCUGAGAACCUGAUCUAGAGCGCACAGGACUUCAUGAAGGACCUCUCUGUAAUUUGCUUCUUUCAUCCCUCUGUUCAGACCAGUCUCCCAGUCCCUACCACUGAGAAGCAUCCCCACAGCAUGAUGUGCCCACCACCAUGCUUCACUUUAGGGAUGGUUUUGGCCAGAUGAUGAGUAGUAACUUGUUUACACCAGACAUACUGCUUGGCAUUCAGGCUUAAUGAUCUAAUUUUGUUCUUAUCAGACCAAAAUCUUUUUUCUCAUGCUCUCAGAGCCUCCCGGCGUCAAAAGCCCCCCCCCCCCCAGAAGUGACUUCUGUCAAUCCACUCUGCCAUAAAGGUUGGAUUGAUGGAGUGCUGCAGAGAGUUCUCCAAUCUCUGCAGAAAAACUCUGUUAGAGUGACUACUGGGUUCUUGGCUACCUCCGUGACCAAUGUCCUUCUCGCCCUGAUCUAUUCCUCAAAACAGUUCUAUCUUGGAGGUCAAGUGAGAGUUCCUUGGGCUUGACUUACACUGUCAAGUCUGAGACCUUAUAUGGACUGCUGUGUCUUUCUAAAUCAUCCCAUUUCAGGUAGGGUCCUCAAAGGCCUUUACAUGGUAACAAGGUGACCUCAUCCUUGUGACCAAUGGGAUGAUGCAUUGUGAACUUGCAUUAGAAAAUGGUGAAUCAUGGGGACGAUUUAGUGACCAUGAUUGAAAGGGGCUAGGGUACAAAUUUGCCCAGGACUCCCAAGAUUAACAUUCUGACUCUUACAAUAAGUGUCCGGACAUACAUUUUUGCCGUAAGUGAAUCAAUAUACUCUUUCAGCAACUAUGUGGUGUAGCAAGAACUGUUGAUCAGAUGCAUUUUUAUUUUCUCCAAUGUCAGCUUUUGUUUUCUCAGUAAACGUUUUGUUAAUUAAAAGACGAUAUGUCUGGAUGUAGCAUUAGUGAUAUGUAGACCACUUUGUUGUCGUUCUUGAGAUUGACAGCGUUUCACUGGGAUGUGUUGUAAUGUCACUCAUUGCUCCUAUUGAUUGUGUUUGCUUGAGGUGUUGUCCAGUUUCCUGACAGGUCAAUAGGAAGCACAGAGAGAUGGAGGAGUGAGACAGACCGACACAGACAGCCGGCUGUGCAGGGCCUCAACCCUGGCAGCCAGCGGGCAUGUGGUCCAGCUUAGACCGCUAGACCAGAGUCUGGCGAACAUCAUCCUACUUACAGAAGUGUUUAUUUUCAUAUU